rnacentral:rRNA from 1 species
UACGUAGGCAGCGAGCGUUGUUCGGAAUUACUGGGCGUAAAGAGUGUGUAGGCGGUGCUCUAAGUUCGGUGUGAAAUCUCCUGGCUCAACUGGGAGGGUGCGCCGGAAACUGGAGUGCUUGAGCGUGGGGAGAGGAAAGCGGAAUUCCUGGUGUAGCGGUGAAAUGCGUAGAUAUCAGGAGGAACACCUGUGGUGUAGACGGCUUUCUGGACCAUAGCUGACGCUGAGACACGAAAGCGUGGGUAGCAAACAGG